GAUGAACGCUAGCGGCAGGCUUAAUACAUGCAAGUCGUGGGGCAGCGCAGGUAGCAAUACUGGGCGGCGACCGGCAAACGGGUGCGGAACACGUACACAACCUUCCGAGAAGUGGGGAAUAGCCCAGAGAAAUUUGGAUUAAUACCCCGUAACAUAACGAUGUGGCAUCACAUUGUUAUUAUAGCUUCGGCGCUUCUUGAUGGGUGUGCGGCUGAUUAGAUAGUUGGCGGGGUAACGGCCCACCAAGUCCACGAUCAGUAGCUGAUGUGAGAGCAUGAUCAGCCACACGGGCACUGAGACACGGGCCCGACUCCUACGGGGAGCAGCAGUAAGGAAUAUUGGUCAAUGGACGCAAGUCUGAACCAGCCAUGCCGCGUGAAGGAUUAAGGUCCUCUGGAUUGUAAACUUCUUUUAUCUGGGACGAAAAAAGGCGAUUCUUCGUCACUUGACGGUACCAGAUGAAU
rnacentral:rRNA from 1 species